GUCUACGGCCAUACCACACUGAAUGUACCCGAUCUUGUCUGAUCUCGGAAGCUAAGCAGUGUCGGGCUUGGUUAGUACUUGGAUGGGAAACCACUGGAGUUUUCUAAUAAAACU
rnacentral:rRNA from 1 species